rnacentral:rRNA from 1 species
AUACGUAGGUGACAAGCGUUAUCCGGAUUUACUGGGCGUAAAGGGCGUGUAGGCGGUCUUGCAAGUCAGAAGUGAAAUUCCUGAGCUCAACUCGGGCGCUGCUUCUGAAACUGCAGGACUUGAGUGCUGGAGGGGAUAGCGGAAUUCCUAGUGGAGCGGUAAAAUGCGCAGAUAUUAGGAAGAACCCCGGUGGCGAAGGCGGCUUUCUGGUCAGUAACUGACGCGUAAGCUCGAAAGCGUGGCAAGCAAACAGGAUUAGAUACCCGGGUAUUCCACGCCGUAAACGAUGAAUACUAGGUGUAGGGGGUAUCGACUCCCUCUGUGCCGCAGUUAACACAAUAAGUAUUACGCCUGGGGAGUACGGUCGCACGGUUGAAACUCAAAUUCAUUGACGGAC